CAGCCCAUGGGGGGCGGGAGAGGGGUUUGAUCUUCCCAGGGCCCAGGAGCAUCUCUUGAGUGUCGGUGGGCAGAACAAACCCAGGUGGGAGCUGCCAAAGGUCUUGGGUAGCGGUGCAUGGGAGGGGUGGGACAGGAGAGAUGCAGGAGGUGAGUCCACACGAGAGUGGUCCAGCUUUCCAGGUGAGAGUUGGUGAGGACCACGGGUCACAGGAGGGAUCAAGGGAGGAGCGGGUAUAGGGGCUGCUCCCAAAGCAAGAUCACAGGCUCAGGUACUGCUGCGGGCUGAAGGGUGAGGGCCUACAGGCUCAUCAGCUCUUGCCUGUGAGGGCCAGUGUGGCGACUCUUACUCCACUGUCCGGCUUCCUCUCCACUUCUGUUCACCUGUCCUCCUCAGCAUGGCCCCACAGGCAUAUCCCCAGAUGCCCUAUAGAGAUCCCCCUCCUCUCUGGCCCAGGGCUUUGCUGCAGGCUCUGUCCCCUCUGGCCGCAUCUUGCGGAGAGGCCUCCUCACCAUCAUCCUGCCCCUGGGCUCGCCUCUCCAGUACAGCUGCCAGAACCAUCUUCACAGCCUCUGCUGCAUGGGGGUUGGGUGCCGACAGCCUCCUCCAGCUCUUUUUGGAAAGCAGAUGAUGUAGCGAUUCUUAACAGCUGUGCCCCAGGCUUAAGCUCUCUCAGGGACUUCCCAGCCAGACGGCUUCUGCUGGCAGGUAGCAUGUGUGCAGGGAGUGUGGCAUGUGUGUUCUUUCACUCUUCACUUACCCGGGAGGCACUGGAGACAGUGUCCUGGUCAUGGUGCCUGCCCCCAUGGAGGUACAUUCUAAGGGACAGGCAGAUUGUAAAACACGGAAACAAGCAAAUAAAGCUAGUCCCAUUGUGACACAUGCUAAAGAGAAGAUAAUGGGAUACACACAGGAGUGGGGGUGCUGCUCUGGCACCAUGAAGGCACCCAUUAAUCUGAAACCUGUAGGGUGGCCGUGGCAGAGUGGGGGACAGUGGCAGUUUGGAGGACAGGGAGAGAGCCCAGAUCAGGCAGAUUGCCUGAGCAUUUGGCAGUGUUGGGUGAGCCAAACUGGUGUGGGCAAAGGCCAGAGAGGGCCGGGGUGGUGGGGUUAAGCAGGGGCAGCCUUUGGAGUCUGUCUGUGGUCUCUAUUUUCAUCUGGCUUCCUUACUCAGUCAGGUCCUGGCUCAGAAACAUCUUCCUCCCAGAGGCCCUCUGCCGGCCCCUUCUCACCAGCCUCUGUGGGACCUUUGAAGAACCAGGAAGGACAAUUGGCCAGAGAGAUGGAUCUUGGCUUGGCAAUGGUUACAUGACAGGAAGUUGUUACUUGAUAGAAUUCUGUUUGGGGGCUAGGCACAGGGGUGCCAAGAUACUUCAGUGGAGGAAAGGACAGUCUUCUUAACAAAUGGUGCUGGGAUAAUUGGAUAUCCACAUGCAAAAGAAUGAAGUUGGACUCCUGCUUCGCACCAUGUUCAAAAAUGAACUCAAAAUGUAUCAGAGAGCUAAGCUUCAGAGCUAAAAGCUAUUAAGACUCUUAGAAGAAAACAUAGAUGUCAAUCUUCAUGACCUUGGACUAGGCACAGGUGACAAAUAACAAAUAAAUAAUACAGUAGUAACAAUAAUAAACAGGACACCAUCAAAAUUAAAAGCUCAUGCUUCAAAGGACAUUGCUGAAACGAAGAUGGUCCACAGAAAGGGAGAAAUAUUUAUAGGACACACGCAGGCACACCUCGUUUUACUGUGCUUCACUUGACUGCACUUUGCAGAUACUGUGUUUUUUACACAUUGAAGGUUUGUGACAACCUUGUGUUGGGCAAGUCUUUUGGCACUGUUCUGGCAGCAUUUGGUCACUUUGUGUCUCUGUGUCACAUUUUGGUGAUUCUCGCAAAAAUUCAUACUUUUUUCGUUAUUAUUAUAGUGAUCUGUGAUCAGUUAUUAUGACUUGCCGAAAGCUCACAUGGUGGUUAGCAAUUUUUAGCAAUAAAGUAUUUUUAAAUUAA